UACGUAGGUGACCAGCGUUGUCCGGAUUUACUGGGCGUAAAGAGCGCGCAGGCGGUCGUUCAAGUCGAGUGUGAAAGCCCCCGGCUCAACUGGGGAGGGUCACUCGAUACUGAUCGACUUGAAGGCAGGAGAGGGAAGCGGAAUUCCCGGUGUAGUGGUGAAAUGCGUAGAUAUCGUAAGGAAGACCAGUGGCGAAGGCGGGUUGCUAGGCCGACACUGACGCUGAAGCGCGAAAGCCAGGGGAGCAAACGGG
rnacentral:rRNA from 1 species